rnacentral:rRNA from 1 species
UACGGGGGGAGCAAGCGUUGUCCGGAUUUAUUGGGCGUAAAGCGCACGCAGGCGGUCAAGUCAGUUUCGAGUGACAGGUGGUGGCUUAACUGCUACAGCCUCGAAAGACGGCUUGACUUGAGGGCUUGAGAGGGACGCGGAAUUCCAGGUGGAGCGUGAAAUGCGUAGAGAUCUGGAAGAACACCAAAGGCGAAGGCAGCGUCCUGGCAAGUUCCUGACGCUCAGGUG